rnacentral:rRNA from 1 species
UAUCUCUGUAGAGUCUGCAUAUCAAUAAGCGGAGGAAAAGAAACUAACUAAGGAUUCCCUUAGUAACGGCGAGUGAAGCGGGAAGAGCUCAAAUUUGAAAUCUUCAAGGUUUUACCUUGACGAAUUGUAGUUUAAAGAAGUGUUUUCUGUUGAAGUUUUCGGUAAAAGUUCUUUGGAAUAGGACAUCAUAGAGGGUGAGAAUCCCGUAUUUGACCAGUUACUUUCCAGCUGUUGUGAUACACUUUCAAAGAGUCGGAUUGUUUGGGAAUGCAGUCCAAAAUGGGUGGUAAAUUUCAUCUAAAGCUAAAUAUUGGCGAGAGACCGAUAGCGAACAAGUACCGUGAGGGAAAGAUGAAAAGAACUUUGAAAAGAGAGUUAAACAGUACGUGAAAUUGUCAAAAGGGAAGCGUUUGACACCAGUGUUGUUUUUCCGAAAAUCAAUUACGAAUGGCUUGAUUUUGUGUUGUAUUGACCUUAUCAGCUUUCUUCACUUUUUUCGAGUCUUUCUUAAUGCACUUUUCGGUUAACAAGUCAACAUCAAUUUCUUUUGUUGUAAAAGAGUAUUCGGAAGGUGGCUUUCUUUUCGGAGAAAGUGUUUAUAGCCCUAUACUUCUACAAUCGGAGAGAUUGAGGUCUGCAGCGUAGAUCCUUCGGGGUUAGAUACACUUGUGCUAAGUUGUAGCUUUUCAUAGACAACUUGUUGACUAUGUUUAGUCAUGCGGCUUACUCGCUUGUGCUAUUUUACCUACGCUUAGGAUGUUGAAGAUGUAGCACAUCAU